AUACAUAUAUAUAUGUAUACAUACGUACAAAUAAAGUGUACAUUGAGGUUUUUGAAUAGGAUCACAUAAGGGUUAACCAAAUAGAGUGAAAAGUUAAAAAGUGUUUGCAGUGCAACUUUGACUUUAUCACUGUUAAAUUAAGAUCCAAAAAAGUAUUAAAGUGAAAUAAUAUAGUAUAAUAUAAUGUUUAAAAAAAAGACAGAAGUUGUCGUUCACAAAUGUAUCGUACGCCUCUUUGAAGACUUCAAUGCUGUUGAGUAUGAGUUUUUGGACACUCACAAAGGAAGUUAUCUAAUGGACCGACUGUGCCAACGGUUGGAGAUAAAGGAAAAGGAUUAUUUUGGGCUGCGUUUUGUGGAUAAUACCAAACAAAGACAAUGGUUGGAUUUAGGAAAACUUAUAAUAAAGCAAUGUAAAGAUAUACAUCACUUAAUAUUCUCAUUUCGAGUAAAAUUUUAUCCAGCGGAUCCGUUUCAUUUGAGUUUAAAUGUAAGGGUUUUGUUGUAUAAACAAUUGAAGCGUGAUCUUAACCAUGGACGUAUUUAUUGUUCUAGUAAUGAGAUAGUAACUUUGGGAGCUCUAAUUGUACAAGAACAAUUUUCAGAUUACGAUGAAAAUAUACACACUGGUGACUACUUAGCAAACCUCCGGCUAUCUGCUCGACAAACAGAUGCAAUUGAAAAAAAAAUUAUUAAGAAGCACAGAGAACGAACACCUGGACAAGAUCCCAUAAUUGUAAUAGAUGAGUUCUUAAGAAUAACUCGCAAUUUGGAAACAUAUGGUACUGAACCUCAUUAUGUAAAAGAUCAUCAGGGUGUCCAAAUGUAUAUUGGAAUAAAUUUUUCUGGAAUAAGCGCAUUUAUUUCUGGAAAACGUACUCAACAUUUCCUCUGGAAUGAAAUACGAAAAUUAAAUUUUGAAGGAAAAAUGUUUAUAGCACAUAUAGGCUAUAUGGACACAAGUAGAGAAGUUAAAAAAUACACAAUCGGAUUUAAAUGCGCAUCUGGUGCUGCAUGCAGAUAUCUUUGGAGAUGUGCGAUUGAACAUAUGCUGUUUUUUACGUUACACGUUUCUUGCAAAUACAAGGGCUGCCAUUAAAAGCAGUUUUGAUUUUAGACAAUGCUCCUUGUCACCCUGGAGUAGAAGACUUAAAGUCAGAUUGUGGAUCAAUUUUUACUAUCUUCAUGCCACCAAACGUCACGCCAUUGAUCCAACUGAUGGACCAAAAUGUAAUUAGAUUGACAAAGUUACAUUACAAGACAAAUUUAUUGAGAUCAGCGUUUGGAAAAGCGAACACAGAUGAAUAUUUAAAGAAUUUAAAUUUAAAAGACGCUGUUUGUAUGUUGGCACAUGCAUGGGAACAAUUAAGCCCUGUCGUCGUGGAAAAAUGCUGGCAUCCGCUUUUAAAAGAUGAUGUUUUUAAUGAAGAAGGAGCAAACUGUAGCGAAGAUGACGACAUCCCCUUGAGUGUCUUACGUUCAAAUACAAUUCAGCAACAAUCAACAGAGUAUGCGGAAAUAAAUAAUUUGCUGGAGAGCAUAGUUCCAGAAGUUACGUUUAAUACAGCAGAUUUGGUUGCUUGGGUUUCAACGGAUGACCCUAUUGAAGACUUGAAUAUAGUGGAUGACGUUGCUGUUUUAAGUUCAGAAGAAGACGAAGAACCAAAUGAAAAAUGCAAUAUAACCGCUUCAGAAGCCGUUUCAGUAUUUGACAAGGCUAUAGAGUGGGCCGAAGAAUACACUAGUUCUCUUCCUAAUAUAAUGGUUCUUAAAAAUUUUAAGGAGGAGGCUGUGAAGCAAUGCCUUAAAGCGAAAAAAAAGCAAACAAAAAUUGUUAAUUUUUUUUCAGCAGAAUAAAGUUUUGCUUUCUUAUUUUGUGAAUGUACAAAGAUGAUCUCAAGAAUAAAAUCUAUUUAACUUUUUUGAAAAAAUAAUAAAAGAAAGUGUAUAAAAUCUUAAUCUGAGUUGAAACAACAAUCUUGAUUGAGGGAACAGGCCUUGCACAAAUUAGUUCCCUCAAUCGCGAUUGCACUGUAUAAUGAUUACGUAUAAACGAAUCAAAAAACGAAAUCAUACCCCAGGAGAAAGUGCCACAAACUGGGAGUAUUUUGAGGCGUUGGAUGAGGUUUUUGGCAGUCGGAGUUGCGUUCAACUGCCAGAAGACAUGACGGAAUCUUCAAUUGAAAACUUACUGAAUACGCUUACAGGUGAAAGCGCCACCUCUUCGGUUACUGAGACGCCAUCCAGAAAUUUAACACCGACCAUUGGUAUAAAGCGAAAGAAAAAUGAUGUGAUUGAUUUUUUAACAAAAGAAUCCGAAAGAGAUGAAGCGACAAUUCAAAAACUUUUAAAAACGGAAGAAGAUAAAGUAUCUAUAGAAAGGGAGAAGCUGGAAGAGCUAAAGCAGAUUCGCCUCUUAUUCGAAAGAAUGGCAGAAAAGUGAAAUGUUUAUCUAGGGUAUCAACAAGGGUGUUCUGAAUAAUUUAAAUGUAUGAGUAUUAUAAGUAUUGAAUUUAUAGCAUAAAACUUAUUUUAGUUUUUUAUUAUUUUUGUUACACUAUUAGAAAAAAAUGUAUGCGAGAUUUUAAAAAGCAUUGACUGUUUUUCUUUUGUUUAUUUAAUAUUCAAACUUAAAACGGUUUAGAAAGAGCAGAAAAAUUCAACUAGAAUUUCUAGAAAUCUUUUUGGUAUUCAGUUUUAAAGAGUUUAGGCGUGAAUAUUACUAAGGCAUUUGUUUUAUUAAUUUACGCAGAAAAAAGUGUGGCAAGAGCAUCUCUUUUAAAUUCAGCUUCUCUUCUCUGUCCUGAUUGAUGUAUAGCUUCUUGUGUAUUAUUAUUUUCGUUAUCAUCCUGUAGGUCUUCAUCGAUUUCGCUGUCUGUUCCUUCAUUCAUAAUAAUUAUGUUAUGAAGUAUAAUGCAUGCCAUUGCAAUAAUUUUCGGAAGGUGCGGGCGCUGCACUUCAAUAAAUUUUAAAAUUCUGAACUUCUUUUUUAAAAUACCGAAAGCUUGCUCAACGAAAACGCUAGUUGAACUCAAAACUGCAUUAAACUUUGAUUGUUGUGUGGUUAAAUUGUAAAUUGUUUCGAUAGGGCACCAUUAAAUUCAUCUCGAGUGGAUACGCACCAUCUCCAAGCAGAUGAUAGUUGCGAGGUAUUACAAUAACUCGAUUUGCUAUUGAUCUUUUAAAGGGGCUGUUUUGCCAUACUGCUGCAUCAUGGCAUCUGCCAGGGCAACCUAUGAAUACAUCAGUAAAUUUCAUUUCACUGUCUGCAAUAGCCUGUAAUAACGGGUGAUUUUUUUGAGGUUAGGAUUUUCAUGCAUUAGUAUUUGACAGAUCACGUGGGAUUUCAGACAUGGUGUCAAAGAGAAAGAUGCUCAGUAUGCUUUGACAUUUCAUCAUGAAUAGACUUACUAACGAGCAACGCUUGCAAAUCAUUGAAUUUUAUUACCAAAAUCAGUGUUCGGUUCGAAAUGUGUUUCGCGCUUUUUUAUCGACAAAUUUUGUUCAGCGAUGAGGCUCAUUUCUGGUUGAAUGGCUACGUAAAUAAGCAAAAUUGCCGCAUUUGGGGUGAAGAGCAACCAGAAGCCGUUCAAGAACUGCCCAUGCAUCCCGAAAAAUGCACUGUUUGGUGUGGUUUGUACGCUGGUGGAAUCAUUGGACCGUAUUUUUUCAAAGAUGCUGUUGGACGCAACGUUACGGUGAAUGGCGAUCGCUAUCGUUCGAUGCUAACAAACUUUUUGUUGCCAAAAAUGGAAGAACUGAACUUGGUUGACAUGUGGUUUCAACAAGAUGGCGCUACAUGCCACACAGCUCGCGAUUCUAUGGCCAUUUUGAGGGAAAACUUCGGACAACAAUUCAUCUCAAGAAAUGGACCCGUAAGUUGGCCACCAAGAUCAUGCGAUUUAACGCCUUUAGACUAUUUUUUGUGGGGCUACGUCAAGUCUAAAGUCUACAGAAAUAAGCCAGCAACUAUUCCAGCUUUGGAAGACAACAUUUCCGAAGAAAUUCGGGCUAUUCCGGCCGAAAUGCUCGAAAAAGUUGCCCAAAAUUGGACUUUCCGAAUGGACCACCUAAGACGCAGCCGCGGUCAACAUUUAAAUGAAAUUAUCUUCAAAAAGUAAAUGUCAUGAACCAAUCUAACGUUUCAAAUAAAGAACCGAUGAGAUUUUGCAAAUUUUAUGCGUUUUUUUUUAAAAAAAAGUUAUCAAGCUCUUAAAAAAUCACCCUUUAUAUUGAUUAUAACUUUAUUAUAUUUAUAUUCAAAAAUUAAGCAGUUAAUGUAAUUGCUUGUAUAAUGAUGGAGUAGGUUCCUUUACGAUUAUAGAAACUGACUGCAUCUCUAAGAGGUUGGGAUAUCUGGACGUGGGUACCAUCAAUGCAACCCAGAACAAAUGGGAACGGAUUGCGGCGACUUGCUAAAAAUUGCUCGCUUGUUUUCCUUUGUUCGUCAGGCGUAUUUGGAAACUUAAUUACCUUGCUUUUCAAUCGACAAUUAAGAUUAAUUAUCAAUAUGAACACUUUAUAUGCAGUACCAAUAGCCACCCCAAAUCGAUCGCUGAUAUCACGGAAUGAUGUGUUGUUGCUGACUUUCCAAAUAGUUAUAACUAUAUAAGGCCUUAUAGAGUGGAAUGCUUACGCGACCUUUGGUGCGCAAUUUCCAAAAGGGCUUGAUCAUGGUGGCCAAUUUCUGAAAAACCUAAAUAAUUGCAAUUCAUUGUAAAUAAAUUACCUUAAAUAGUUACAUACCUUAAAAGUAUCCCGCCUCAUUCGAAAAUGGGAUUAGAAGACAUCAUCCUCCAUCAUCAAAAUAGAUUGGCAAAAGUUUUUGUCUUUACGAUGUUUCUCCUAUAAUUAAUAUGUUGAAUGCAUAACACACGCACCUUUUUUUCUUUACAGCAUUUUUUUAGUGCUACUAAUAUUGCUAGAUGUUGGUUCAGCCAAUUCUAUUGCGUUUAUUAACAAAUUUUUUAAGAUUGCGCUCAUUAUUAAAACUUUGACAGUUCUCAAAAUGAUGCUUUGCAUAGCUGCGUUCAUAAACACCUGUAAUAUUUAUUGCAUAGGUUUGUAAAACAGUAAUGUCAUACAUUUAGGUUUUGCAUUAGUUGCGCAUUAAUUCGUGGUUAAUGCUUUGCAAUAUGCAUUUACGAAGUCAGCCGUAUCCUGGCGUACACGUUGACGCUCCUCUGCUACGACGACUACGACCGGCUCUUUUUGCCGGCGCCCCUGUAUGCUUCGAUGACGAUAACUUGACGUAUACGUUGACACUCGCGUACUACGACGACUUCGCUCGGCUACUUUUACCGGCGCUCGUGUAGGCUUCAAUGACGCUGUCCUGAUGUACACUUUGACACUCGCGUGCUACGACGACUACUCUCGGCUAUUUCUGCCGACGUUCAUGUAGGCUUCAAUGACGCUGUCCUGGUAUACACGUCGACGCUCCUCUGCUACGCUGGUCAUGUCCUGAUUAACCACUUUUGCCGCGUAAAGAUACCGGAUCACGGAAGUCUGCGUUAGCGACCGCGAUAUUAAAGGUUGGCGCCCUUAACAGACGGUGUUCACAAGUCAGGGUAGCCAGAGGAUAAACUCACUGCGUAAUCUGAUUCUGAACGUGCGUACGCUGUAACAGUCCCGUGCUGACUGACUGAUAACUCCCCGCUGCGUAUGCAUGCUUGUAGUUGUUUUGUCUGCUUGUCUGAUUUCUCCGUCUCCGUGGUGUUUGCGUGGCGUGUUUUUACCGCUGCGUAAGUUAUGUGUACACUAUCAUCCCAACCAGACACCACACAAGAAAAUAUUGUAAAUUGGACAAAAUAAAAAAUUAAAGAAAAACAAGUAAACAUUACAAAAAUUAAGAUAACGAGUAGAAAUAAAGAACAUAAUGCAAAUGCAUACAAACAUGUUUUGGUCCUUAUGUUUGACUGUAAUGAUAACCCAGACAUUAUCGGGUAAACCACACAAUCAUGUUUGUUUGCAUUCAAUAGAAAAUAAGAUUACAUUUAACAAAUAUUGUAUUUCAUAAGAAAAUGAAAAAAAAACAAAGAAAUAGAUUAAGAAAAUUGUAAUCACUUUAGUAGUUAUAUAAGCAGAACAUAAUUUGAAAAAGAAUGAGAAUAAAGUAUAAUGUCACAGAAGCAACAUCGUCGGCAUUUUUAUUCAUCCGCUCGAACAACUAAAACUGGCGCAGUCGGUAAAAACAAACUGCAAAGUUGAGCGAUACUAAAAACUGAAGUUUUUUAAGUUUCGUAAGCCUUAGCAACGGGAAGCAAAUCCUAAGAUUAGCUCCCAUUUUAAAGAUCUCUUAUAUAUAUAUAAAUAUAUAAGUCGGUCGGCACACAUAGCCAAGUUUAAGAAACUUAAGUUUCUACACAAGUUAUCUGGAAUGUCGGAGAGCGACUCAGUUGUAUUAAAAGAGGAUACAUCAGCACUUCAGAUGACAGGAUCGCAAAUUUUGAAGGAAGCUUUAAGAAUCGUGGACUUUGACGGCAGAGAUUUAUCAUCGUUCAUCAGGGAAGUUGACAUUAUCCUUCCUUUAUUCAACCCCAACCCAUCAAUGUUGGAAUUUACAACGCAGCGACACGUCAAAAUAAAAGCUAAUGGAGAAGCAGCAAGUGUCAUCCGGCCUUUGGGACCUACACCAACAUGACAGCAAAUGAGAGAAGAAUUCAUAAAGAAUUUUUGAGUAAAGGAGUCGUACCACCCUUUACAAUCAGGCGAUUGUACUACGAAACUACAACGUAAGUCAAUAUUUUCAAAAUUUAAAAGAUAUUUUAGAUAAACUAAAUUUAAAACAUGAAUUCGAUAGGGUAAAGCCUAUAGAAUUUUCUCCAACGAAAGUUUAAUUCUAAAAACAUUUUUAAAUGGGAUACACCCCAAUUUAAGGAGUGUAGUGAUUAGUAGAAAUAUAAGCACCAUUAGAGAGGCUUUUAGCGUUCUUCAAGAGACAGGUUUGCUAAUACAAUUUGAUAGAAGACAAAACAAUUAUCAAAGAAAUAAUUAUAGAAAUUUUUCAAAUAGAAAUUCUUUGGCUCACAAUUUUGGCAAUUUCAAUAAUAAACAGUAUAUGCAAAAUUCCAAUAAUUUUCAUUUUGGACAAAAUCAGCAGAGAGAAUUUCGUAACAAUUCUAACCAAAAUGACAAUUAUCAACAAUUUAACUUUGGACAAAGUAGAAAAAAUAAUUCUGAGCAUUUUAGCUGAAAUAUAAUGUGUUAAAAGAUUAUGAAUGCAUUGAGCUUGAUAAACCAAUACACUUUAGCACCAUUAAGGAAAAUUUUUCCCUAAAUAAAGAGUUAGUCACCCCAACCCCAAACGAAUUCAAUGAAAAAAGUUAUAUACAUUGGAAACUAACCAACAUAAAAAAUAAUAACUUUGAUGCUAUAAUAGGACAGAAUAUUUUAAAACCUACUAAAGCAAUAAUUAAUUUAGAAAAGGAGUAUGUAGAAAUAAACGGCAACAAAAUAAAAUUUAUAAACUCAUGCCCUUACAAUUACGAAGAUAUUAAUAUACUUACAGAAUGUAUAGAGAAUUUGUUAGAUAUUUUAUCAAAUAGUGACAUGAAUGAAGAAGAAAAGCAAAAAUUAGAAUACAUUCUAAAAGCAAAUAGCGAUUUAUUUUUCCAAGAAGGUAAAAACUUUUCUCAUGCUCAUGAAAUUCAGCAUGAAAUUGUUACAAAAACAAGUAGACCAACUUAUAAAAAAACUAGCUGUUACCCUGUGUGCCUCGCUACACCUAAAUCGAUUAAAACUCUUAAGGGUUUUUACUCUGUGUUUUAUUUAUUGUUGUAAAACUGUUACUUAUUUAUAAAACAUAUUGGUAUACAACAUUUUUGGUUUUCCACCUGGCGCGUAAAUGAAUAAGCACCUUGGUGUUCCCACUCUCGAGCAUGCGACGAACAAUUGGCCGUGGGAGAAGCACGGUUCUUUCAAAUUGACGCCGCACA